rnacentral:rRNA from 1 species
UACGGGGGGGGCAAGCGUUGUUCGGAAUUACUGGGCGUAAAGGGUUCGUAGGUGGCCAAUUAAGUCAGACGUGAAAUCCCUCAGCUCAACUGGGGAACUGCGUCUGAUACUGGAUGGCUUGAGAUUGGGAGAGGGAUGCGGAAUUCCAGGUGUAGCGGUGAAAUGCGUAGAUAUCUGGAGGAACACCGGUGGCGAAGGCGGCAUCCUGGACCAACACUGACACUGAGGAGCGAAAGCCAGGGGAGCAAACGGG